GAUCAUGGCUCAGAUUGAACGCUGGCGGCAGGCCUAACACAUGCAAGUCGAGCGGUAACAGAUCUAGCUUGCUAGAUGCUGACGAGCGGCGGACGGGUGAGUAAUGCAUAGGAAUCUGCCCGGUAGUGGGGGAUAACCUGGGGAAACCCAGGCUAAUACCGCAUACGUCCUACGGGAGAAAGGGGGCUUCGGCUCCCGCUAUUGGAUGAGCCUAUGUCGGAUUAGCUAGUUGGUG
rnacentral:rRNA from 1 species